CUAUCCUAAAAGCACGGACCAAGUUGCUUCAUUCCCUACACCCAAUCUUAGGCAUAUCAACUCACCAAUAGGGUUGAUACAAAGUUGGAGUAAGAAGCCAGGUUUCUAUCCUCCAACCAGUUCUUGGCAACAUCUCCAUUGUAUGAGAACCUAAAGCAGAGACCCAAAAAAAAAACAGAGCAAUUAAAAAAAGAAGAAUUGACAUUCUCGUUAAAAGAAGGUCAACGAAAUUGCUUGCCAACAAUAUAGAUUUAGAACACUACAUUACAAUUGAAGCUAAAGUGUUUAACUAAAAAUACGCACAGAACUGAUUUUGGCUAAACCCUAAUUGAAAAACCCACAUACAGAAACAGAAUCAAAAUGUGGGUAGAAGAAUCUCAAGAAAGAAAAAUUAGCAGAGAAAAUCUUACUCUUUGGAGAAGAUAAAUCUGGAAGGAAGCUCAAAAGAAGUGAAGCCAUUGGGCGUGGUAACAGUAUUAGGGGUGGGAAAAGGCUAAAGGGUUAAACCCUAAGAGAGAGAGAAUUAAGAGUUAAGAGUGUAUUUAAGUAAAAGUAAUGAUCUUUGGCGAGCGGCGUGCUUACAGUUCUGCACAGAGCACAUUUAUCAAUGAAUGUGAGAGACAGACAGAGUGAGACUCUUUGUUUUUUGGUUUCGACGUUUCCUGAUU
rnacentral:lncRNA from 1 species